rnacentral:rRNA from 1 species
GGCGUGCCUAAUACAUGCAAGUCGAGCGGACAGAUGGGAGCUUGCUCCCUGAUGUUAGCGGCGGACGGGUGAGUAACACGUGGGUAACCUGCCUGUAAGACUGGGAUAACUCCGGGAAACCGGGGCUAAUACCGGAUGCUUGUUUGAACCGCAUGGUUCAAACAUAAAAGGUGGCUUCGGCUACCACUUACAGAUGGACCCGCGGCGCAUUAGCUAGUUGGUGAGGUAAUGGCUCACCAAGGCAACGAUGCGUAGCCGACCUGAGAGGGUGAUCGGCCACACUGGGACUGAGACACGGCCCAGACUCCUACGGGAGGCAGCAGUAGGGAAUCUUCCGCAAUGGACGAAAGUCUGACGGAGCAACGCCGCGUGAGUGAUGAAGGUUUUCGGAUCGUAAAGCUCUGUUGUUAGGGAAGAACAAGUGCCGUUCAAAUAGGGCGGCACCUUGACGGUACCUAACCAGAAAGCCACGGCUAACUACGUGCCAGCAGCCGCGGUAAUACGU